GAGAUACUGUGAUGGCUUGCAUAGUUCAACAGAUUGCAUGAAGAGAUGUACCACUUAUCUGAUGUAUCUU
ensembl:snoRNA